GAGAGCUGAUGACGAGUGUUCUUUUAGAACACGAAGUGGUUGAUGCCAUGCUUCCAAGAAAAGCUUCUAAGCUUCAGGUAACCAGGAACCGUACCCCAAACCGACACAGGUGGUUGGGUAGAGAAUACCAAGGCGCUUGAGAGAACUCGGGUGAAGGAACUAGGCAAAAUGGCACCGUAACUUCGGGAGAAGGUGCGCCGGUGAGGGUGAAGGACUUGCUCCGUAAGCUCAUGCCGGUCGAAGAUACCAGGCCGCUGCGACUGUUUAUUAAAAACACAGCACUCUGCAAACACGAAAGUGGACGUAUAGGGUGUGACGCCUGCCCGGUGCCGGAAGGUUAAUUGAUGGGGUUAGCUAACGCGAAGCUCUUGAUCGAAGCCCCGGUAAACGGCGGCCGUAACUAUAACGGUCCUAAGGUAGCGAAAUUCCUUGUCGGGUAAGUUCCGACCUGCACGAAUGGCGUAACGAUGGCGGCGCUGUCUCCACCCGAGACUCAGUGAAAUUGAAAUCGCUGUGAAGAUGCAGUGUAUCCGCGGCUAGACGGAAAGACCCCGUGAACCUUUACUAUAGCUUUGCACUGGACUUUGAAUUUGCUUGUGUAGGAUAGGUGGGAGGCUUUGAAGCGUGGACGCCAGUUCGCGUGGAGCCAUCCUUGAAAUACCACCCUGGCAACUUUGAGGUUCUAACUCAGGUCCGUUAUCCGGAUCGAGGACAGUGUAUGGUGGGUAGUUUGACUGGGGCGGUCUCCUCCUAAAGAGUAACGGAGGAGUACGAAGGUGCGCUCAGACCGGUCGGAAAUCGGUCGUAGAGUAUAAAGGCAAAAGCGCGCUUGACUGCGAGACAGACACGUCGAGCAGGUACGAAAGUAGGUCUUAGUGAUCCGGUGGUUCUGUAUGGAAGGGCCAUCGCUCAACGGAUAAAAGGUACUCCGGGGAUAACAGGCUGAUACCGCCCAAGAGUUCAUAUCGACGGCGGUGUUUGGCACCUCGAUGUCGGCUCAUCACAUCCUGGGGCUGAAGCCGGUCCCAAGGGUAUGGCUGUUCGCCAUUUAAAGUGGUACGCGAGCUGGGUUUAGAACGUCGUGAGACAGUUCGGUCCCUAUCUGCCGUGGACGUUUGAGAUUUGAGAGGGGCUGCUCCUAGUACGAGAGGACCGGAGUGGACGAACCUCUGGUGUUCCGGUUGUCACGCCAGUGGCAUUGCCGGGUAGCUAUGUUCGGGAAAGAUAACCGCUGAAAGCAUCUAAGCGGGAAACUUGCCUCAAGAUGAGAUCUCACUGGAACCUUGAGUUCCCUGAAGGGCCGUCGAAGACUACGACGUUGAUAGGUUGGGUGUGUAAGCGCUGUGAGGCGUUGAGCUAACCAAUACUAAUUGCCCGUGAGGCUUGACCAU
rnacentral:rRNA from 1 species